GAUAAACGCUGGCGGCGUGCUUAACACAUGCAAGUCGAACGAAGUUUUUCCUUCGGGAGAAACUUAGUGGCGGACGGGUGAGUAACGCGUGGGUAACCUGCCCUGUACAGGGGGACAACAGCUGGAAACGGCUGCUAAUACCGCAUAAGCACUUAGCACUGCAUGGUGCAUAGGGAAAAGGAGCAAUCCGGUACAGGAUGGACCCGCGUCUGAUUAGCCAGUUGGCAGGGUAACGGCCUACCAAAGCGACGAUCAGUAGCCGAUCUGAGAGGAUGUACGGCCACAUUGGGACUGAGACACGGCCCAGACUCCUACGGGAGGCAGCAGUGGGGAAUAUUGCACAAUGGAGGAACCUCUGAUGCAGCGACGCCGCGUGAGUGAAGAAGUAUUUCGGUAUGUAAAGCUCUAUCAGCAGGGAAGAAAAUGACGGUACCUGACUAAGAAGCACCGGCUAAAUACGUG
rnacentral:rRNA from 1 species